rnacentral:lncRNA from 1 species
GGGGGCUGGAAAGCUCUGGUAUUGGGAGAGUUAGGAGAGGUAGGUUUUGCUGAGAAUAUGCCUUGGUGAUGGGACAUGCAGCCCAAGGAGGGAGGGAAGGUGGAUAACAAGCCUGCUCUUUCCUGACACUGAGUUCUUAGUGAGGAAGCAGAGCGGAUUGCAUGCACAGAUUUUCCUGGAAAGAAGAUUCCCAGCACAUAAGAGGGUUUACAGAGCACGCUCUGAUGCUUCUUCCAAAAAAUUCCAUGCAGGCUGGGUGAGAUAUUUUGGACAGAGAAUGAUGCUGAGAAGACGCACCAUUGGCACCUUGGACCUGGGCAUCCCGGAGGCUCCAGAGCAGAGAGAUCUGUGCCAGCUCUGCAGGAACCUGGCUCAUACUUAAAAGUAGGAGCAGCCAUUCCCAUUGCUCUGGGUAACACGUGGUUUCCUCUCACGCUGCUGGUGGCACUCAGGUUGCCUGGAACUGGGGAAGAAUUAACAGUAAGUGACUGGGAAGUGAGGGUUGGAGCCUCUCUGAGAGAGAGAUCUGCAGAAAUCUCUGCAGGGAGGGGAGAUCUACAGAAUUAUGCUCUUAACCGCCUUAGCUGCCCCUUUGGGGCUUGCAGAUUUUCCUUGGGGUAUGGCCAAGUAUUUCCACAGGAUGCUGCAAUGUGGCUGAUGGAAAUCCAUACUGCCACACUUCGUUAAAGGCUGUCCAGGGACAGGCAUGGGGAAAAAAAGCUAGGCUGACUGCAAAUGCCUCGUUUCCUUCAGAAAUCAGUCUAGAAUUCUCCCUGGCGCAUACAGGCUGACUGUGAAGAGCUCAGGGUGUUUUCAGGGCUGUUUGUUAGCUGUGGGCUGGCAGUACAUGCUGUGAGAGCCCCUUUGUAAGGUUGCAGACCACCUGUCCCCUGCAAGAGGUACCACCACCACCUUGUACACUGAUGUGUGAUGCUUUAUUUCUGUACUCCACAGAAACACAGAAAUUGGAUGUUUAGCUUACUGACAAGGGCAAGUUGUGAUAUACUGCACUUUUCAAGUGUUUAUUCCCCUGGUCUCGUCUGCAAGCCAUGAAGGCAGGAAUCAUGCCAGUGCUCACCAAACAACAUCUGAAUUCUCCAUACAACUCUGCUUUGCUGUGGUGUUUAAUUACCCUCAGAAGUUGUUCCUGGGCGUGCAUGUGUGACUAAAACAGCUACCAUUAAAGACAAGUUCUGCAUUGCAUUACUGGACUAAUAUUGCUGAGAAUAAUGUGACCAGAAUAGCUACUCGUGCCUCAAGGCCAGAAAUGAUCCAUGCCAAGCCCACCUCCAUCCCUCCCCCUGUAUUGCCUCAUCUGUGCUGACAUUUCCUUGUGAAUAUUUAAGCAUCCUUAAUAUAGCACUGUCAUCGGAGCUGACGACAGCGAUCCCUAGAUCUCCCUUGGCAGUGGACUAAUUGUCUAAGUGCUCUUGCUGUUGGAGAGGAGCACUGACAGAUUAACUCAGACCCUGUAAGCAAAAAG